rnacentral:rRNA from 1 species
AUUGAACGCUGGCGGCAUGCCUUACACAUGCAAGUCGAACGGGAACAGGUCUUCGGAUGCUGACGAGUGGCGAACGGGUGAGUAAUACAUCGGAACGUGCCUAGUAGUGGGGGAUAACUACUCGAAAGAGUGGCUAAUACCGCAUGAGAUCUACGGAUGAAAGCAGGGGAUCGCAAGACCUUGUGCUACUAGAGCGGCCGAUGGCAGAUUAGGUAGUUGGUGGGAUAAAAGCUUACCAAGCCGACGAUCUGUAGCUGGUCUGAGAGGACGAUCAGCCACACUGGGACUGAGGAACGGCCCAGACUCCUACGGGAGGCAGCAGUGGGGAAUUUUGGACAAUGGGCGAAAGCCUGAUCCAGCAAUGCCGCGUGCAGGAUGAAGGCCUUCGGGUUGUAAACUGCUCUUGUACGGAACGAAAAGCCCCGGGUUAAUACCCUGGGGUCAUGACGGUACCGUAAGAAUAAGCACCGGCUAACUACGUGCCAGCAGCCGCCGUAA